GGUGACAACUAUCCUGCGUGCCCUCCAUGUGGGCAUCUAGGCUGAUACCCACCACACAGUGAGCUGAACGUUUAUCUACCUCUCGCCGCGGACGCAAGCACACCGCCUUGGGGUUAAAACGCCGUGCUACAUCC
rnacentral:snoRNA from 1 species